CGCACUAGUUCAGAGUUUGAUCCUGGCUCAGGAUGAACGCUGGCUGUGUGCCUAAUACAUGCAUGUCGAGCGAUGCUAGCAAUAGCAUAGCGGCGAAUGGGUGAGUAACACGUACUCAACGUACCUUUUAGAUUGGGAUAGCGGGUGGAAACAUCCGAUAAUACCAAAUACUUAUUAAAAUCGCAUGAUUCUAAUAUAAAAGAAGCGUUUGCUUCGCUAGAAGAUCGGAGUGCGCAACAUUAGCUAGUUGGUGAGGUAACGGCCCACCAAGGCGAUGAUGUUUAGCGGGGUUGAGAGACUGAACCGCCACACUGGGACUGAGAUACGGCCCAG
rnacentral:rRNA from 1 species